UACGUAGGGACCAAGCGUUGUCCGGAAUCAUUGGGCGUAAAGCGCGCGUAGGUGGCUUCGUAAGUCCGUUGUGAAAGUCAAAGGCUCAACCUUUGAAAGCCGAUGGAUACUGCGGAGCUAGAGUACGGAAGAGGCGAGUGGAAUUCCUGGUGUAGCGGUGGAAUGCGCAGAUAUCAGGAGGAACACCAAUAGCGAAGGCAGCUCGCUGGGACGUUACUGACACUGAGGCGCGAAAGCGUGGGGAGCAAACAGG
rnacentral:rRNA from 1 species